GGUUUGAACCAGGUCUGCUUGGUUUCACCUGCUUCAGAAACCAUCUGAGGUCCGCUUUAUGGCCAACAUGGAGCUGAAAACCACAGACUGGGACUAAAAGUCUCACUUCAGGGAGAAUAACUAAACUUUCUCUGUUUGAAAUGAAAACCUUUUGAGGAGUCUUUCCACACAGAGACGCGUGGAUUUGGAUUUCUCUGCAUUGCUUGUCAGACAACAUUUACCUGUUCUGCUGCAUUCCAGGUGGUGUCCAGCCCGCAGGGACAUCCUGAGACCCGCAGGAACAUCCUGAAACGUUUGUAACCUGUAGCAUUUUUAUCAUGGAGGUCAUAUAUAGAAAGGAAAUUCAGCGCUGAAUUGUGUUUCUUUAUUCCUGUCGCUGUGAAUCAGGAGCAGAUGGAAGAAGGCCGUUUAAAAAAAGCUUGUAGGCGUGAUAGAAGCUACAAUCUCCAGGACUGGAUCUAUACUGUACGGUUCUGACGUUGCUCUGAUGUGCCAUCAGUUCUACUGAACUCCUGCCGCUCUGCAGAAACUGUCCUGAAACACACACUCCUCAUUAAAAGAACAGAAGGCAGAGCAGCUCGUGACCUGGUGCACGCGUGAGGUCAGCGUGUUCCUUCUGGAAAAACAGAGCCGGAGACUCGUCUGGAGACAGCACAGCGGCUGAGGACAAACUCCACCAAAAGCUCUUCAAAUGCUAAAAGAUUCUCUGAGUUCUUCGGACCAAGUCCGCUACUGUUGGUUUUAUCUCCAUAGCAACUAUUUUAUGUUUGGGUGACAAACAGGUCAAUGUCAUUUUUGGAUGAUCUGCAAAAGUAAACUUUGGGAUUUCCUUG